CUACGGGUGGCUGCAGUGGGGAAUAUUGGGCAAUGGGCGCAAGCCUGACCCAGCAACGCCGCGUGAGGGAAGAAGGUUUUCGGAUUGUAAACCUCUGUCCCCCCUGACGAAACAAAUGACGGUAAGGGGGGAGGAAGCUCCGGCUAACUACGUGCCAGCAGCCGCGGUAAUACGUAGGGAGCGAGCGUUGUCCGGAAUUACUGGGCGUAAAGGGUGCGUAGGCGGCAUAUUAAGUCAGGUGUGAAAUUUUCGGGCUCAACCCGGAACCUGCAUUUGAAACUGAUAAGCUUGAGUGUGAGAGAGGUAAGUGGAAUUCCUAGUGUAGCGGUGAAAUGCGUAAAUAUUAGGAGGAACACCAGUGGCGAAGGCGACUUACUGGCUCAUAACUGACGCUGAGGCACGAAAGCGUGGGGAGCAAACAGGAUUAGAUACCCCCGUAGUC
rnacentral:rRNA from 1 species